GAUGAACGCUAGCGGCAGGCCUAAUACAUGCAAGUCGGACGGGAUUCAGGAGCUUGCUUCUGAUGAGAGUGGCGCACGGGUGCGUAACACGUAUGUAACCUACCUUUAUCAGGGGGAUAGCCUCUCGAAAGAGAGAUUAAGCCCGCAUAAAAUCACAGCACAGCAUUGUGUAAUGAUCAAAUAUUUAUAGGAUAAAGAUGGGCAUGCGGAACAUUAGCUAGAUGGCGGGGUAACGGCCCACCAUGGCGACGAUGUUUAGGGGAUCUGAGAGGAUGGCCCCCCACACUGGUACGGAGACACGGACCAGACUCCUACGGGAGGCAGCAGUAAGGAAGAUUGGUCAAUGGGCGGAAGCCUGAACCAGCCAUGCCGCGUGCAGGAAGACGGCCCUACGGGUUGUAAACUGCUUUUAUACGGGAAUAAACCCAGAUACGUGUAUCUGGCUGAAUGUACUGUAAGAAUAAGGAUCGGCUAACUCCGUGC
rnacentral:rRNA from 1 species